AGAGUUUGAUCCUGGCUCAGGACGAACGCUGGCGGCGUGCUUAACACAUGCAAGUCGAACGGAAAGGUCUCUUCGGAGAUACUCGAGUGGCGAACGGGUGAGUAACACGUGGGUGAUCUGCCCUGCACUUCGGGAUAAGCCUGGGAAACUGGGUCUAAUACCGGAUAGGACCACGGGAUGCAUGUCUUGUGGUGGAAAGCGCUUUAGCGGUGUGGGAUGAGCCCGCGGCCUAUCAGCUUGUUGGUGGGGUGACGGCCUACCAAGGCGACGACGGGUAGCCGGCCUGAGAGGGUGUCCGGCCACACUGGGACUGAGAUACGGCCCAGACUCCUACGGGAGGCAGCAGUGGGGAAUAUUGCACAAUGGGCGCAAGCCUGAUGCAGCGACGCCGCGUGGGGGAUGACGGCCUUCGGGUUGUAAACCUCUUUCACCAUCGACGAAGGUCCGGGUUCUCUCGGAUUGACGGUAGGUGGAGAAGAAGCACCGGCCAACUACGUGCCAGCAGCCGCGGUAAUACGUAGGGUGCGAGCGUUGUCCGGAAUUACUGGGCGUAAAGAGCUCGUAGGUGGUUUGUCGCGUUGUUCGUGAAAUCUCACGGCUUAACUGUGAGCGUGCGGGCGAUACGGGCAGACUAGAGUACUGCAGGGGAGACUGGAAUUCCUGGUGUAGCGGUGGAAUGCGCAGAUAUCAGGAGGAACACCGGUGGCGAAGGCGGGUCUCUGGGCAGUAACUGACGCUGAGGAGCGAAAGCGUGGGGAGCGAACAGGAUUAGAUACCCUGGUAGUCCACGCCGUAAACGGUGGGUACUAGGUGUGGGUUUCCUUCCUUGGGAUCCGUGCCGUAGCUAACGCAUUAAGUACCCCGCCUGGGGAGUACGGCCGCAAGGCUAAAACUCAAAGGAAUUGACGGGGGCCCGCACAAGCGGCGGAGCAUGUGGAUUAAUUCGAUGCAACGCGAAGAACCUUACCUGGGUUUGACAUGCACAGGACGCGUCUAGAGAUAGGCGUUCCCUUGUGGCCUGUGUGCAGGUGGUGCAUGGCUGUCGUCAGCUCGUGUCGUGAGAUGUUGGGUUAAGUCCCGCAACGAGCGCAACCCUUGUCUCAUGUUGUGUCUCAUGUUGCCAGCACGUAAUGGUGGGGACUCGUGAGAGACUGCCGGGGUCAACUCGGAGGAAGGUGGGGAUGACGUCAAGUCAUCAUGCCCCUUAUGUCCAGGGCUUCACACAUGCUACAAUGGCCGGUACAAAGGGCUGCGAUGCCGCGAGGUUAAGCGAAUCCUUAAAAGCCGGUCUCAGUUCGGAUCGGGGUCUGCAACUCGACCCCGUGAAGUCGGAGUCGCUAGUAAUCGCAGAUCAGCAACGCUGCGGUGAAUACGUUCCCGGGCCUUGUACACACCGCCCGUCACGUCAUGAAAGUCGGUAACACCCGAAGCCAGUGGCCUAACCCUCGGGAGGGAGCUGUCGAAGGUGGGAUCGGCGAUUGGGACGAAGUCGUAACAAGGUAGCCGUACCGGAAGGUGCGGCUG
rnacentral:rRNA from 1 species